CGGACGGGUGAGUAACGCGUAAAGAACUUGCCCUUUAGACUGAGAUAACAGAGGGAAACUUCUGAUAAUACUGGAUAAGUUAGUAUAUCGCAUGAUAUGCAAAUGAAAGCUACGGCACUAAAGGAGAGCUUUGCGUCCUAUUAGCUAGUUGGUAAGGUAAGAGCUUACCAAGGCGAUGAUAGGUAGCCGGCCUGAGAGGGUGGACGGCCACAAGGGGACUGAGAUACGGCCCUUACUCCUACGGGAGGCAGCAGCA
rnacentral:rRNA from 1 species